GUGCACCAGUCGAGAAUUUUUCUCAAUGGGGGAAACCCUGAAGGAGCGACGCCGCGUGAGGGAUGAAGGUCUUCGGAUUGUAAACUUCUGUCAUUAGGGAACAAAUCUUCCAAGUAACUACUGGAAGUCUGAUAGUACCUGAAGAGGAAGAGACGGCUAACUCUGUGCCAGCAGCCGCGGUAAUACAGAGGUCUCAACCGUUGUUCGGAUUCAUUGGGCGUAAAGGGUGCGUAGGCGGCGGAGUAAGUCAGGUGUGAAAUCUCGGGGCUCAACCCCGAAACUGCACUUGAUACUGCUUCGCUUGAGUACUGGAGAGGAGACUGGAAUUUACGGUGUAGCAGUGAAAUGCGUAGAUAUCGUAAGGAAGACCAGUGGCGAAGGCGAGUCUCUGGACAGUUACUGACGCUGAGGCACGAAGGCCAGGGGAGCAAACGGGAUUAGAUACCCCUGUAGU
rnacentral:rRNA from 1 species